rnacentral:rRNA from 1 species
CUACGGGGCGCAGCAGUGAGGAAUAUUGCACAAUGGGGGGAACCCUGAUGCACCAACGCCGCGUGGAGGAUGACGCAUUUCGGUGUGUAAACUCCUUUUAUAUGUCAAGAAAAUGACGAUAGCAUAUGAAUAAGCACCGGCUAACUCCGUGCCAGCAGCGCGCGGUAAUACGGAGGGUGCAAGCGUUACUCGGAAUCACUGGGCGUAAAGGACGCGUAGGCGGGUUGGAAAGUCAGGUGUGAAAUCCUACAGCUUAACUGUAGAACUGCACUUGAAACUUCUAAUCUAGAGUAUGGGAGGGGGAGAUGGAAUUAGUGGUGUAGGGGUAAAAUCCGUAGAUAUCACUAGGAAUACCUAAAGCGAAGGCGAUCUCCUGGAACAUUACUGACGCUAAGGCGUGAAAGCGUGGGGAGCAAACAGGAUUAGAUACCCUCGUAGUC